rnacentral:lncRNA from 10 species
GUGGGCUAAGUAAUUUGGAUUAACAUUCUCACUUGAAAACAUUUAGAAAAGCUGGAUAAAAUAUACUUUUCAAAGAUGUAGGAAGGCAGCAGGGAGCUGAUAAGUUGGUGAAUAAUUACCAUGCCAAUAAUAUCUGAGAAAAGAUAGAAAUUCAGAAAAAUGAACCAUUCAUUUGGGACCACUGUGUUAGGAGUAUUUAUAGAUUGCAAAAGGCCACUGGGAAGUUGAGUAGAUAGAGCUAAGGGGCUAAAGAUUCAAAAAGAGUCCAGGGUCAGUGAAGAGGUAAGGGCCUGGUAACUCCAAACCAUGCUUUGAAACCCUGAAUGGUUGAACCCUAGAAAUAAGGAUGAACAGAAGAGCAUUACCACAGUCUGUGGCUCAGCUUUCAGUCACCUAGGUGACCUGGAAAAUUUCAGUAUCUGAAACUGGAUCAAAAUAAUCCUAAAUUACUAAUGCAGGUACCUGCCAGAAGCAAAAAACUCUGUGGAGGAUAAAAAUAUCAUUCUGAGCAUCAAGUUAUUUCUAGUUUUUUCAAACAAUAUUGGUAAAUAAUUAAAGGUAACCAGGCACACAAGGAGACAAGACAGUAAGAAUGAAGACUAGAACAAACAAAAUAAAAACAGACCCACAGGCGGGUUUUGAUUCUGGAAUUAUUAGACAGACUAGAAAAUAAUUAUGCUUUUCAUUUUGAAGCAGAUAAGAAAUUGAAAAUUUCAGCAAGACAAUUAGAAACUGCAGGAGUGACAAAUUUACAUGCUUUCAAUUAGAAAUAUGAGAACUGAAAAUACAAGGGGCUGAGAAUAACCAAGAUACUCUAAAAGAACAAUAAGUUGGGAGGAUUUGUUUGGCCAGAUAUCAAGAAUAUAUCAGCUACAAUGAUGAUGAUGAUGGUAUACUAGCACAGGGAUAGAAAAAAGGGAAAAAAUGUUUAGAAAGAGAUGUAAGGACUAAGCUCUGAUAUUUUGUUAUCUUGCCCAAAUUCCUGUCUAAGGAGUCUGGGGAGUCAUGCUCUACAAACCAUAAAUUCUCAUCAGAUGGGUUUUAUUUAACCCUGUAUAUUGUGACUUAACUUUCCAAUCUGACUCUGGCAUAACAAGAAAGAAAAUCAAAAUAUUUUACCCCGAAAUAUGUUUCUCUGCCAUAUCUUGAAAUGGCCCUGCAAAGCCAUCCCUUGUGGGAAAAAUCUACAUUCUAUAAAGAAUCCCCUUUCCCCUUUACCCAUUUUUUUUUUGUCCUUCCUUCCUUUCCAAAUCCAGGAGAUAAUCAACUAAGACCCAGGCAUCCUUUUAGAGAAAUGCAGAGUGACACUUCAAUGAGAUACAAUUGCACAUCCACCAGAUUGGCAAAAUUAAAAACAAAAACUGUUAACACCAGCACUGACCAAGAUAUGGAGAAAUAUGGUUUGGAUAUUUGUCCCCUGCAAAUAUCAUGUUGAAAUGUGAUCCCCAGUGUUGGAGGUGAGGGCUGGUGGGAGGUGUUCGGGUUAUGGGGAUGGAUAUCUGGAUCCCUCAUAAAUGGCUUGGUGCCCUCGUUGAGAUGACGAGUUCUUGCUCCAUGAGUUAAUGUGAGAUCUGAUUCUUAAAAAUGAUCUGGGACUUCCUCUAUUUCUCUCUUGCUCCUCUAGCCAUGUGAUACGCCAGUUCCUCCUUUGCCUUCUGCCAUGAUUGCAGGGAUGCUGGUGCAAUGUUUGUACAACCUGCUGAACCAUGAGCCAAAUAAACCUUUUUUCUUUAUGAAUUACCGAGUCUUGGAUAUUCCUUUAUAGCAACACAAAACCAACCAACAUACUAAUGCUUAGAAAAAAAUUUGUAAUCAUCUAAUAAAAUUUAAGAUAUGAAUACCCUAUGACCAAAAAAUUCUACUCCUAAAUAUAUACUCUUUGUACUAGGAGUUACAUAAAAUGAUGUUCAUUGUGAAACUGUAAUUGCCUGAAACUAAAAACAUCCCAAUUGUCUACAGUAAAUAAAUUGUGGCAUAUUAACAGAAAAGUAAAUUACACAGACAUAAUGAAGAAUAAAGUACAGCUACAACCAACAUGAAUCAAUC